rnacentral:rRNA from 1 species
AUUAGAGUUUGAUCCUGGCUCAGGAUGAACGCUGGCGGCGUGGAUAAGGCAUGCAAGUCGAGUGGGUUUAGACCCACGGCAAACGGGUUAGUAAUGCAUAGGAAUCUACCUUGAAGUCGUGAAUAACUCGGAGAAAUCCGUGACAAUACACGAUAGUCUCUACGGAGAAAAGAUUUAUCGCUUCAAGAGGAGCCUGUGUCCUAUCAGCUUGUUGGUAGUGUAAUGGACUACCAAGGCUAUGACGGGUAGGGGGUGUGAGAGCACGGCCCCCAACAUUGGGACUGAGACACUGCCCAAACUCCUACGGGAGGCUGCAGUCGAGAAUAUUCGUCAAUGCCCGAAAGGGUGAACGAGCGACGCCGCGUGCGGGAUGAAGGCCCUUGGGUCGUAAACCGCUUUUCUUAGGGAAGAAUGCAAUGACGGUACCUAAGGAAUAAGAGGCUACUAACUCUGUGCCAGCAGUAGCGGUAAUACAGAGGCCUCAAGCGUUAUCCGGAUUUAUUGGGCGUAAAGAGCAUGUAGGCGGGUAUAUUAGUCAGAUGUCAAAUCUCGGGGCUCAACUCCGAAACUGCAUUUGAAACGGUAUACCUAGAGACAGUCAGAGAUCAAUGGAACGUAUGGUGUAGCAGUGAAAUGCGUUGAUAUCAUACGGAACACCAAAGGCGAAGGCAUUUGGUUGGGGCUGUUCUGACGCUGAGAUGCGAAAGCGUGGGUAGCGAAUGGGAUUAGAUACCCCAGUAGUCCACGCCGUAAACGAUGCAUACUAGGUAUUAAGAGAAUCGACCCUCUUAGUGUCGUAGCUAACGCGUUAAGUAUGCCGCCUGGGAAGUACGGUCGCAAGACUAAAACUCAAAGGAAUAGACGGGGAUCCGCACAAGUGGUGGAGCAUGUGGUUUAAUUCGACGAUAAGCGGGAAACCUCACCAUGGUUUGAAACUAUACUGCAUUAUGCAGAAACGCAUAAGCCUUCGAGGGUGUAUAGCAGGUGCUGCACGGUUGUCGUCAGCUCGUGUCGUAAGAUGUUCUGUUAAGUCAGGAAACGAGCGCAACCCCUAUCGUGUGUUAUAUUGUCACACGAGACUGCCCAGAACAAAGCGCACAUCAGGUGCGCAGUAAAAAGUUCAUAAUGUUCGUAAAGUUCCAUACUUUAUAAACCUUAUAAACUUUAAACUUUAUAAACUGCGCGUGAAGCGCGUUUCGUUCUGGGAGGAAGGUGGGGAUGACGUCAAAUCAGCGUGGCCCUUUGACACCAUGGGCAACACACGUGCUACAAUGGCCAAUACAAAGGGUUGCCAAGUCGCGAGACGGAGCUAAUCCCAAAAAGUUGGUCUCAGUUCGGAUUGGAGUCUGCAACUCGACUCCAUGAAGCCGGAAUCACUAGUAAUCGUGAAUCAGAACGUCACGGUGAAUACGUUCUCGGAUCUUGUACUCACCGCCCGUUACACCAAGAGAGUCGGUAACACCCAAAGACCCUGUUCAAAGCAGGUCCACGGUGAUCGA